GCAAUGAUGAAUUUGUGGUUUUGAUCAGUGAUGAGCUGAAACUACAAACCUAGUCCUCUAAGAAGUUCUGAGCUC